UAUAACUCUUCUCCCUCCUUCGCAUCCUUCCUCUCUUCUUCUAUCUCAUUAUUUCUUUCUUUUUUCUUCUUUUUCUUGUAGGUUUCUUAACUGAUUGCUUUCUUUUUUAAUUUUCAAAGUCUCACUACAUUCAGAUUAUGGUUGGAAAAAUUCCUUUAGGGCUUGAUUUGACCUUGCAAAGAAAGGAAAAGAUCUUUAGAGAAGUGGGUUUGAGGUGUUAAUUGCAGCAGCAAGGUUUGGGCUUUUGGACUGUAGUGGAUGGAUUUGUACGUUAGGUCUUGGCUCAAUAAACUAGCACCAUUUUUAUAGAUCUACUCCUAUUUAUAUUUCCUUGCUCUAUCCUUAUUCUAUUUCAGAUGAAGGGGAUGUGAAUGAGUACAACUUGAAACAAACGGGAAGGAGUCCAAUUGGUACAAUACGAAAUUUUUUAAAUGGUCGUUGAAAUUACUCUGAUGCAAAAGUUCCACACCUUGUCUAUGGUAUAAUGAGAUUGAUUUUUUGAAGCAAAAAUGAGCAAAUUUGUGGAUGAGGUCAUUAGAAUCAAAUAAUCUUUUUUCUUAACUUUGUAGCUUAUAUAUAGAAUUCUAAUUUUGUAGAAUUUAUUUUGUAAUAUGAUUUUAGAAGCCUAAACUAGACUAAAUAUUGUAAAUCUAUUCAAGCAAUUCAUAAACAUUUCUUUA